rnacentral:lncRNA from 1 species
GCAAGGAUGGUUUUCUCGAGCUGAGAAGGCACAGAGAGGAGCAGGAGCGGCGCGUCGCGGCAGCGUUUUGCUCUCAACACGGCGAGAUCCAAACGCGCACAGAUCAGGGUGUCUAGGGCUCGGUUUGGCAGUUGCAAAGCAAAGGGAAGGCCGCGGGGUUGACCUAGGGGAUUUAUAGGGCUCAAAACCGCGUCGAAAGGGAAAGAUCCCGAGGAAGCCGGGAUUCCGUUCGGAGUUUCCAUCGGCCACGGCUGGGUGUGGCGCUGAAGAAAGAAGGAAGGAGAACGCUUACUUGCGGGCCCUGAUCGUCAGUGAGAGAGAGAGAGAGAGCGCUGGCCGCGCAGUUGGGCCGCGAAAGAAUGGGCUGGGGCGUGGGGGAAAAGCCAGCGGGCUGCGGGGGUUAACUGGGCUGCGGAAAGGAGUGGGCCGCGCGUGGGGUGAGGGGGGUUCGGCUGGGGUUUUUCUUUUUUUAUUUUCUUUUCUGUUUUCUUUUCCAAAAUAAACCUUUUUCAAAUAAAAUUUUGAAUGCAAAUAAAUUCAAGUCAGAGGCAAACAAUACAAAAUAAAAUAUUCUUCGGCAUGAAUGCAUAAACAAGUUUCUAAUCUUAUGUUAAAUUUUCAUUUUGACAGAAAUAUUUUAUUUACUAGAUUAAAUGCCCACAAAAAUUGCUUAAAUAAUUCCAAUUAAAUCCUAUUAAUUCAAAAUCAAAUUUUGGGUGUUACAAAUUCUACCCCCCUUAAAAGAAUCUCGUCCUCGAGAUUGAGCAGUGCAUAAACAACCACUAUGGAUAUGACUCUCUCAAAUCAUCCUCUCAUUCCCAGGUUGCUUUUGUCUCUAAAUACUAAUUCCAUUGUACUAGCAAUCUCAAUAUCUGUAGUCAGGUAGCAUACCUGGUAACUUAUCUGGAAAUUCAUCUGAAGAUUUAUUCCCUACACAUUCCUGAAGAUCAACAUCAUCAUCCAGCUGGUUUACUGUAGCUGUGGGUGGAGCCUUUACUGCUACAUCCACACUUAUUCUCUCUCCCUUUGGUGUUAUCAUAACUACUACUUUCUCUUUGCACUUAAUCUCCGUAGUAUAUUUCUUCAUCCAAUCCAAACCUAAUAUCACAUCUAUGCUUGAGGUUCUCAUAACUAUGGGACUAACCGGAAAAUCUACCCCCCUUAAAGAAAGACUUGCUGAGGGGCAACAAUAUGAAACUGGUAUAGUCCCUCCCGGUGAGUUUACUAGCAUAUGGGUUUUCAUGGCAACUAGUGGAAUGCUAUGAACUCUAACAAAUGCUUGUGAUAUGAAUGUAUGCGAAGCUCCAGAAUCAAAUAAAACUGUAGCAGGGAUAGAGUUGAUACUGAACGUACCCAUCAUAAUCUCCGGUCCCUCUUGUACUGUCUCUGCAGCCACAUGGUUCACCUUUGCUCCAUGAGAAUUAGACUUUUGAUUGUGGUUCUGCUGGUUGAAUCUCUCCGGGCAAUCAUAUGACAUAUGACCUUCUUUUCCAUAGCGAAAACACCUAGUAGGGGUAUUGGGAGCACUUCUCUUCAUAGAGGUGGCAUUUGAAUUUCCUGAGCGGGGAAUCUGCUGACCACUCUGCUGUUGAUUAGGAUUACGCUGAGGUUGUUUGUUGCGAUCCCAUUGACCAACUGGUCCUGAUACCUCUGUUGAUCGCCCUGCUGAGAAUUGAAACGUUGACGGUUGUUGCCUCCAGAACCUUGGGCUAGCAUCCUUCUCUUCUUGUCCUGGCCUUUUCGCAUGUUAUCCAACACAAUAGCACGGUUCACAAGAGCUUGGAAGGUAGGAUAAGUGUUUCCUGCCAGCUGCAACCUGAGUUCAUAGUACAAGGCCUUCAUGAAUAGACGCUGCUUAUCAGCAUCUUCCCUGACAUCAUUCGGAGCAUAGCGGGCCAACUGUUCAAAUGUGUCAUGAUAUUCUGCCACAGUCAUGGAGCCCAUCCUGAGUGAUCUGAAUUCUUCUUGCUUGAGCUCCAUCAUUCCCUCAUUUAUGUGUCGAGCUCUGAAGUCCCUACAAAAUUCCAACCAUGUGACAGGAGGAGCAUUGUUGGGACGAGUAGCUUGAUAUGACUCCCACCAUGUCGGAGCUGCCCCUUGAAGCUGUCCACAAGCAUACAACACUUUUUCCAUAUCAUUGCACUGGGCUAUGUUCAGUUGUCUCUCUACAGCACGAAGCCAAUCAUCUGCCUCCAUGGGAUCAGCUCAGUAUGUAAAUACCAGAGGUCUUCCCUUCAUAAACUCUCCACGCUUAUCUCUCACAUGAACAGGUGGUGGUGUUGGUGGAGGUUGCUGCUGUAGAUGCUGCAUGAAAACGUGUAUCAUCUCAUUUUGAGUUUGCAUGAGUUCCUCCACAGUGAUUGGGGCAUUGUCACCAUUGCCAUUGCCACGGCCUCUGCCUCUGCCUCUUCCCCUUGCUGCCAUCUGCAUUCCAAGGUAUAUAAACACAUCUUAGUAAUGUCCAACAUGACAAUUACAAGAGUUAACGGAAUCUGAAAUUUUCUGGGUAACAUCCAACAUCAGCAGAUCAGAAUAUCAGUCAUAUCUCGAGUUUCAGAAUUCAAAAGGAUGCAUACUGUAUACCGUUGGAAAGAUAAAUAAAUUGUCUACAACUUUUAUUUAGAUCAUAUUAGCAGAUUCCAAAGUUAGGUUAAUCAAAAUUUGGGUAUAACCGAAACUGUUCUAGAAUUCCAGACUGCGCAGAAACCUCAAUUUGAACAGUCAUAUCUCCCAGCUCAUAACCGAUAAUAUUGUCAUUUUUGAGGCAUUGGAAACAUAUGGGAGUCUACUUGUUCCUAAAAAAAUUUGAUGAACAUUGCAUGAACAGAUUUUGAGAUACACCAGAAUUAUUGCAGACUGCUCCAGAAAACAGCAAGAGAUAGAAACAUGAUUUUAACCAAACCCAACUAUUUAGUUCAUUAAUCCUUAUGCCUUAGGCCUAUAGAAUAAAUGAAAUUGUAGAGUAAAUCCACAAGAUCAUUACACUCAUUACAAAAAUCCAAAUCAAGCAUAAGCAUAAUAACAAACCAAACCAAGCAUCAAAAGCUCACACUUCGAGCAUUGACUCAACUUGCGGUACUAACGUUCUCUUCCUAUUAAGGGUGAAGAUCCUAUAAUUCUCUUUCAACUAUGUAAGUAGGUGGUAAGAGAAGAUUCUAAAAGCAUAACAAGCAAGGAGUGGGGUUGAGAACAAGUCUUUAAAAUAAGCAACAAGGUGAAGGUGAAUAGCAAUGGAAAGGAUAUAGUAUAGGAGAAAAUAUCAAGGUUUACAGAGCAAGGAUUUUAUAGAAUUUCAAAACCUUAAGAUGGCCAAUUUCUAACUAGGCUUGCGUCCGACAGUCAACAAAGCUUUGAUACCAAUUUGUAAUACCCGAUUUUAAGGACAAAACCAGAUAUACACCAUAUGUGAGUUUUAGAAGUCAAAUCUCACAUAUAGCUACAAAUAAGGGGUAAUAUCAAAAGACAAUGCAUAGAUAUAUAACGUACUUAGUAUAAAAGAGAUAACCUUCAGUAUCAAAUAGCAGAUAGACAACUCCAACUUUGGGUAUUAACUCCACUCUACAGGAUCCAACUGACUGGUUGAUCACAAGCCCAAACAACUCAUGAAGUGUGGGGGAAAUGCCAGCGGGCUGCGGGGGUUAACUGGGCUGCGGAAAGGAGUGGGCCGCGCGCGGGGUGAGGGGGGUUCGGCUCGGGUUUUUCUUUUUUUUAUUUUCUUUAAUGUUUUCUUUUCCAAAAUAAACCUUUUUCAAAUAAAAUUUUGAAUGCAAAUAAAUUCAAGUCAGAGGCAAACAAUACAAAAUAAAAUAUUCUUCGGCAUGAAUGCAUAAACAAGUUUCUAAUCUUAUGUUAAAUUUUAAUUUUGACAAAAAUAUUUUAUUUACUAGAUUAAAUGCCCACAAAAAUUGCUUAAAUAAUUCCAAUUAAAUCCUAUUAGUUCAAAAUCAAAUUUUGGGUGUGACAAGACAAGAGGAAGAUGCAACUCUCUAAGCUACAAUAAUGGAGAGAAAAAGCAUAUCACAAUGCCAAAAUUUAUAAAGAGAAAGUAAAAGAUGGCAUGACAAGAGAAUCAAGAAGAAGGAGUUCACCCUGGGUGAUAAGGUAUUACCUUUUAAUUCAAGGGUGAAGCUCUUCGGGCAUGGAAAGCUUUGAAGUAAAUGGGA